CCACCGCGGUUAUACGAGAGGCCCAAGUUGACAGACAGCGGCGUAAAGGGUGGUUAGGGAAAUCAACCAAACUAAAGCUGAACACUUUCAAAGCUGUUAUAUGCAUCCGAAAGUAUGAAACCCAAUCACGAAAGUAGCUUUAUUUAACCUGAACCCACGAAAGCUAAGAAACAAACUGGGAUUAGAUACCCCACUAUGCUUAGCCCUAAACAUCGAUUGUAAAAUACACUCAAAAUCCGCCCGGGUAUUACGAACAUUAGUUUAAAACCCAAAGGACUUGGCGGUGCUUAACAUCCACCUAGAGGAGCCUGUUCUAGAACCGAUAACCCCCGUUAAACCUCACCCCCUCUUGCCUUGUCCGCCUAUAUACCACCGUCGUCAGCUUACCCUGUGAAGGCUUAACAGUAAGCAAAGUUGGCAAAGCCCAAAACGUCAGGUCGAGGUGUAGUGAAUGAGGGGGGAAGAAAUGGGCUACAUUUACUAGGUAUAGUAAAAACGAAUGAUGCAUUGAAACAUGCAACUGAAGGAGGAUUUAGCAGUAAGCAGGAAAUAGAGCGUCCCGCUGAAACCGGCCCUAAAGCGCGCACACACCGCCCGUCACCCUCCCCAAGCCCCCAAAUUUAAACUAACUAAAAAAAACAACCUGCGAAGGAGAGGAAAGUCGUAACAUGGUAAGUG
rnacentral:rRNA from 1 species